CCUGCCGAUGGAGGUGGCGGGACAGAGUUUACCUGAGCUACCUGAGGUUCCCGCAGAGUGUGUAUCGGGCCCCUGGGCCCCAGGUAUGAAGUUAAAUCCACCAGAGAUUUGUGUCUCUUUGUGGACUCGGGAAGUAAAAAUCGGGCCCCUCUCACCUGGUCUUGAUGUUCCAGAGCUGCAGUGCACCCUGGGAGCUUCCCAGCAACACCUUGUUCAGGUCCGACCCGUGUCUCUGUGUCCCUGCAGAGGAGACUUCUGAUCAUGAGAAUCAAAUCCUUUAAGAUACAACUAAUGUCAGAAUCGGACAUUCGGGACAGAACCAGCUCCUGUUGACAUGCAGUUCAUUAACAUAUAGUGUGUCAUAACAUGUAGUAUGUAAUUGUUCCGGUGUCCAGCAGCAGAGUGGAUUUGAAACGAACUAAUCAAGAUGUGGUUGAAGUGCAGACUCUCGGCCUUAAUUCAAGGGGUUUAACAAGAAUAUCACGUCAACCGUUAUUUCAUGACAAAAUAAGCAGAUCCGGAGUUGUGUUGAAUAUGCCUUUGCCUUUGCUCGCUGUUCAUGGGUUAUUGAUGAUGUGGCCGCUGAUGGAAGCAGCAGGAUGAAUUCUGAACCGUACAGUUCUAAACCAUCUGCUCAGAUUCAGCCAAACGCUGCAAAACUGACCGGACGGUGCUUCACAGCACAGAUGGAUAAUGACCCAAAACACGCUGCGGAAGCAACCCGGCAGCUUCUCGGGGCAGAGAGAUGGAAUAUCCUUCGAUGGCCACGUCGGUCACCUGACCUCAAGUCAACAGAACAUGCUUUUCACUCCCUGAAGACAAAACUGAGGGCAGAAGGACCCACAGACAAGCGGCAACCGAAGGCGGCUGUCCAUGGGUUUCGGACCUCAGACAAGGGAUUUUCAUCCAGGAGCCGUCGGGGGACAAACAUGUCCUGAACAAACGUGUCUGUGAACGCACAGGAUUUAUUGAAGACGUCUCUGUCUCUGUGUAAAUAAAGUUAACGUUUCUUACGUUGUACGUGUGGAGACUUUUACCGACCGCCGUCACCAGGUAAAACUCCCGGUGCUUCUGGUGGUACCGGAGCGCGUGCGGCACGUGGUUUGAAUAAAGACCCAGAACCCGGAACCCGGAGAACAAAGUGCUGCCACUGCCCGCGAGACUCCCGCCACCCGACAUGUCCGGUAACCGCGGAGGACUUCACCGGAGAAAACACGAAAGAUAACGAAUAAACGGGCAGACCGGAGACACGGACUGAACGGAGACAGAAAACACGGGAGGGCCGAGGAACUGAGUCCGACCGGAAACAAGCAGCAACAACAAGAGAGUUCCGCUCUGAGGAAAAGUUUGGAUCCUUGUUCUUGAUUACCGCCUCCAGCCGGACGGAGCCUAGAUCCGGACUCUAGAUCCGGACUCUGGACUCUACACUGUGGCCAGUCUUGACCUCAGUGAUCAAUAAGAUCAAUUAAAAACCAAGAACAUAACAUUAUUCCAUCCUGUCUGAGGACGAACCAUGGCUCAGGAACA